rnacentral:ncRNA from 1 species
CAACGGACUUCAACAACAAAUGGAGCGCCAGUGCAGAAAUGCGCUGGAUGAACGCCGCUAUAUGCUGGGACACCCUGAGAGCCUGAGGUACUCGCCCGUCACGGGCAGUGAAAAUCCGAGGGAUUGGGCAAUCAGCAGGUAACCGCAAGGGAACCUCAGAGACUACACGCGGCGCACCUGACCGAGGGAGUCGAAGGUGAAGAUAUAGUCCAGACUGCAAGCCG